rnacentral:rRNA from 1 species
CCUACGGGUGGCAGCAGUGAGGAAUAUUGGGCAAUGGACGCAAGCCUGACCCAGCAACGCCGCGUGCAGGAAGAAGGCUCUCGGAGUGGAAACCUGCUUUUGUACGAGGGUAAACGCAGAUACGUGUAUCGGUUUGAAAGUAUCGUACGAAUAAGGAUCGGCUAACUUCGUGCCAGCAGCCGCGGUAAUACGGAGGGGUCAAGCGUUAACCGGAUGUAUUGGGGGUAAAGGGUGCGUAGGCGGUAUGAUAAGUUAGAGUUGAAAUCCCGAGGCUCAACUUCGGAACUGCAUUUGAUACUGUUCGGCUAGAGUGUAGGAGAGGCAGGCGGAAUGUAUGGUGUAGCGGUGAAAUGCGUAGAGAUCA